AGUGAACGCUGGCGGCGUGCUUAACACAUGCAAGUCGAACGAGAACGGGCUAUAGCUUGCUAUAGUUGUCAGCUAAGUGGCGCACGGGUGAGUAAUGUAUAGGUAAUAUGCCUCUUACUAAGGGAUAACAAAUGGAAACGUUUGCUAAUACCUUAUACUCCUUAUUAACAGAAGUUAAUAAGGGAAAGAUUUAUUGGUAAGAGAUUAGCCUGUAUUGUAUCAGUUAGUUGGUGGGGUAAUGGCUUACCAAGACUAUGACACAUAACUGGUUUGAGAGGAUGAUCAGUCACACUGGAACUGAGACACGGUCCAGACUCCUACGGGAGGCAGCAGUGGGGAAUAUUGCACAAUGGACGAAAGUCUGAUGCAGCAACGCCGCGUGGAGGAUGACACAUUUCGGUGCGUAAACUCCUUUUAUAUGAGAAGAUAAUGACGGUAUUAUAUGAAUAAGGACCGGCUAAUUCCGUGCCAGCAGCCGCAGUAA
rnacentral:rRNA from 1 species